rnacentral:ribozyme from 1 species
UGCCCAGCAACUCCUAUCCCUACCUCCACGCGGUACCGGCCGGAAACUAUGAGCAACCUUAGGCAUGAUCGGGUAACCAACCCCGGUGGGAACUUUGGUCGUAGGCUGACAGGGAAGG